rnacentral:lncRNA from 1 species
GUCGCCGCCUCCCGCCGCCUGCCGGCACGAGCCCCGGCCUCUCCACGUCGACCGCACCCGUCGGCCGCCGGCGCUCCCACCUCAGAGUUGCCGCCGGCCGUGCCCUAGCCCCUCUGCCCGGUGAGUUUUAUUUCUUACUGCCUGUGCAUAGUUUCGGGUUUGUGCUCACUUUUUCGACGAUGUGAGGCUGUCCCGAUGCCUCCGAAGGUGAGCACGGUGAUCGCUGGUCAGUGCUGAUCAUAGUGCUCACCUCACUUUGGUUUAGAGGCUUCCGAAAUUGUGUUUUCAGCGCGAUUUUCCCCGAGUGCGCGCUGUUCGCAGAAUUUUCGGGUCGCUCCCGCGCCUCCCACAGUGAGUCGUUGUGCUCCGGAUCUUGAGCACAGCCUCCGGCAUGUCGAGACCUGUCAGUACGUGUCUCGGUGGACCUUGGAAGCCUUCGAGUUGCGUUAACGAGCCACAAAGUUGCCUUAUUUAUAUAAGAUA